UCAACAAACCCAUUUCACAUCUUCACUUGAACAGAUUUCUAUGGUGACCAUGAAACUACUAGUUCUAGUGAUGUGCCUGACUGGAUUGUGUUCCUCCCUCCCUGUAUCUAAGGAACAUGUUCGAGAAGAGCGCUCAUCAAGUAAUGAGGUCAAUAAAGGAUACAUGGAUUUUGGGGGAUUCUACCCUUAUCAGCAGCAGCCUCAGUACCCAUCAUACUUCCCCUACGCCCAGCCAACCCAAAGUAAUUCAGCCCUGAUGGCCCUCCUGCCCUUCUUGUUAGCAGGACUUCCUGCCGCUCCUGCCCCACCUGCCGCUCCUGCCCCACCUGCAGCUGGAGGGAAAUGAAAAUGAGAUGGGUGACGCCAGAGGACAAGAGAGGAAACUGACAAUCAUGUCUCUACCUUGUUAGCAGAUGCACUAUUUUUUAAAUUACCAAUAAAAUAAACAAAUUAAG